GUCUACGGCCAUCCCACCCGGAACGCACCCGAUCUCGUCUGAUCCCGGAAGCUAAGCAGGGUCGGGCCUGGUUAGUACUUGGAUGAGAGAGAAAUAGCAGCGGUCUCCC
rnacentral:rRNA from 1 species